GUGUGUGUGGGGGAGGUCCUCCCAUACACACACCCUCACUCCCAUCCAUACACUCACCCUCUCUCACACACCCAACCUCCCACCUUUAAUGUGUGUGGAUGGGACUAAGGUUUUCUUAUUUCUUUCAGAUUGUGCGCCUCCGAGGUGAACGUCUGACUGAAGUGAACGUGUGGCUGGUCGAGAACUCCUCCAAACAGGUAAAGUACUUAUGACAAUAUAUAAUGUCUAUAUGCAAGUAUUUAUGAAUAUUAUGUUUUAAAGUUUUUUGUAUUCCAGGUUUGUUUGUGUGGCUGACUGGACCUACUACAAGGUACUUCUUGCAGGUAAUAAAGAUACAUCAGUGAUGGUGAGGCCGUCACAUUACCAGCGGUUGUGGAUUUCCCAAUUCAACCUUUAUAUUGCAGACUCCACAUAAGGUAAAACACUUCCAUUCAGCAAUUGGUGUGCAGUGUCCAGAUUGUCAACAUUUAAUCUCAUGGUGUUCUCCCGACCUCCGUAAAGUGUCAUUAAUGCAAGAACGAAUGUAAGUGUCGUCAAGACCAACACAUGUGGUAACUCCAACGAGAACCAGGCCAAUAAGGAGAUAUGCAAGAUAUUCAUAUCCAAGUUAGGCACCAAAACUUCCAAUCUCCACGUAAGCCAGAGCUGCAUGCCUGGGGUGGCGCCAUUCUGCUUUUUCCCUUGUCAACACACUGGGGAUAUUCUGUUGUAUUUACUUAACCAAGUUAUUAGUAACCAUUUUUUCUGUGGAGAUAUACAGUAUUAACUUUAACUUACUCUUAAAAUUGUUGAAGAAAAUUUAUUUAAAUCACUUAGAGUACAUUUAAACUUAGUACUUAAUGUACAGGUACCCCUUUAUAAAAUAAAUUUUUAAAUUUCACAAGGAUAAUAAAACCUAGUAAAGAAACUUAUUACGUAGUAGCUCAAGUGUAUUGGGGAUUGUGUAUGAUUUACCAGAUGGUAAUAGUCAUUGCAGUUUUUAUAUAAGGGACAGUACUGAGGUGUAUGAAGAUGGAUUGCCUACCAUUUCUCAUUAACGACAACUCUGUUAACUUUAUCUCCAUUAUUUUAUCCUGAAUAAUCUCAACAUUUUUUGUAAAUUAUUUGUAUGGAAAUAAGCGUUCAUUUAUGGUUCCAAGACCUAUACAGCAGGGGCAUUGUACUGCAUACUUUGUUCCAUAUAGUGUGUCAUGAUGCUAUUGGGAUGAUAUAGCCAUAUAAUACAUCAUUUUUAUUAUGUUGUUAAACUUAUCAGUGGCUAAACUUGCCAAAAAAUGAUGUACAUUUCAAAUAAAAAUUUAUUUAGCUUGAUUACAAGAAACAUUAUUCUUGAGUUUGUGUAAUGAUUUCAAAUACAACCGUAUCUUAAACUCAGUACAGGUAGAUGAUUUUAGGGGUUGAUGGUAAUUGUGACCCAAGUGAUCAUUAUUUUUGUUCAACAACCUUGAGGGUACAGUACUGCAAGGUAAAAGGAUGAGUUGUUUUUGGGGAAACUACCACAGAUAAAGAUUCUUUAUUAUUGACAACGUUGAAGAUUAAACUGUAUAAAGUAUGGCUUUUCCUGAUAGUAAUUAAUAGUUCUACUUAACCAUUCAAUGUACAAGAGAUAUUAGCCAGUGGCUGAGUUUGCCAACAGUCAUCAUCAGAAUAUCCCCAUUUAGCAGUAGGGCCAGUAGUGCUACAAUCCAUGGUAGGAGACAAAAAUCACCUGGACCAGCAUAUCAGCAGUCAUGUUACAGAACCUAGGAUUAGAUUUAUAUACAGUAUAUAUGUAAAUAUAUUAGGGUUUUCUUUAUAGAUAUAAUAACCCUUUUAACUUUUCUCCUGUGUAUUAACUUAAUUCAUGAUAUAUAUCUUAGUCUGCCCUCGAGAACAAACUCAGUCCAAAGCUUGCCUGUGACACCAGCUCUAGUUGUCUGUCAGAAAAUUAAACAAAAUGGUUGUAUUACACCAGUAAUAUACUUUGUUGUUUCUUUGAACCAGUCCAUUCCAUUCCACAUCUUAACUUGGCUGCCAGUGUCAGAGGUUACAAAAACAAAUGUGAAAAAUCACAUUGAUUGUGCCAUAUACUUUGCCAGUGUUUUAAAUAACUCAAUGGGUUUAGAAUCUUUAUUGAAAAAUGAAGCAAGUUUGUAUCAAACUGUGGGUGACUCAGCUGUGAUACAUAAAUUGUACUUUCUAGAUCAGGAAGAUAAUACAAUCUAAAUAUUAUCUGGAUAUUAAAAGGUUAUGAUAAGUCCAAGAAAAUUAUUUAGUUUGAAAAUGCAGUACAUUGACUUAUUCUUGUGUGUUCACAUUCUUUGCACACUCAGUUGUUUGCAAGGAGAUAGCUAGAAUUAGCUAGGUGUGAGGACCGACUAAGGUGGAAAUCAUGACCAAAGCUAUUUAUGUAAGGAAGAAAAUUAUCUUUCCUACCUCAAAUUCUUUACCUUUUGGUGUACAGUACAUGUGAUACACUGCUCACACUUGUAUCAGUUUUAUAUGUAACACCAUUUCCCUUAACAUGAAAUAUAGGUGUUUGCAUGUACAGUUUGUGCAUUUUAGUGAAACAGUUUGGGACAGAGAAGGUAAAUAAAAUUAUAGUUUUCUGAGCAAAUACCGGUUGUGUAGAAUUCUGUAUUUAGUAUCUCCAGUAUACUGUAUUAUUACUAUUGAUCUUGUUAGUAAUGGGAUUUUUGUAUUAGAUAGAUUUCCACUUACAGCUAAUGUUUGAGAGAAACUUACAAACUCUGUGUUUUUUUUUAUGCUUAUGUACAGUUGGAGACAAAAUUACCUGAAUGCUUGGCAAUAUCUGGCAUCUACUUUUGGAUCAUAAUUGUAUCUAAUAAUGCUGCUUUUCAUCACAUUUUGUGUCAGAACCACAAAAUGGAAAAAAAAACGGAAAGAAAAACCUGAGAAAACAAUUUAAAAUUCAAUUCCUCAUAUGUAAUGACCCUCUAGUAGAGACAUGUCAUAUACUGUACUGCCAAAUGUCCAGGGAACUUUGUCUCUAACUGUAAAUGAAAGGCUGCGCUAAAUACAUGGCAAGAAAACCUGGCAGAUUGACACUGUAAUGAUUUUUAUAUGCUUGUGAUGCAGCUUCUUGAUUUUAACAAAAGGUGCCCAGUCAGGCAGUAACCAAAUCACAGAGCUAAUGUGUCAUCUAGCAUCCUUUUUCUCACAUAAAAUUCAUUGCAAUGUGUUGAAUAAUUUUGAUAGUUCAUUUGUACAUUGCUGGGAUGCAUUUAUUUACUCUAUUCAGGCACAUUUAUCACAGGAGUAUUUUAGUCUUUCCCAUUUCUGGUCACUCCCUCAAAUCUUGAGUCAAUGAAUUUGAAAUUUUCCAUGUUUUUAUUGGGUUCAACAUGCCCAGUGAUCUUCCUUUCACACCUUCAGUAUCCCAAGUUUUCUUUUAUUUUGCUUUGUUAGUUUUAGAUUAGUAGAUAUAUUUUACAGUAUUCACUAUCAGAUGGUAAACAGCAGCCAUUUUGAGUGGAAUUCAUAGUUUUCAAGAAAUGAUGUUGAUUAGAUAAUGAUUAAUAAUUGCUGGUUUAUGUGUGUGUGUGAUGCAAUCCCCACUAUAUACACUUUAAAGGAAAUGGGAUUUUAUCAGUAAGUAAGUGUCAGUUCUCCCUGAACAUGGUUAGUUAGAGGGUUAAGAGGGUCGGUAUGCUGUAUUGAUUGGAAAUACUUUCAUGCAUAGUAAAGGACAAGAUUUUUUUUCAGUUAAUUAGGUGUUCCUGAGUCUUCUCUGUUUUGUAUCUUCAAAUAUUUAACAGAAGGAGCCAUAAUUAAACUUAAUAUUAAAGUAAAACAUAGUAGCAUAAAAUUCUAAUUAUUUUUGUUCCUAAGUUCAGUGGUAGCCGGACAUCUACUGUACAGUACUUCCCUUAAAUACUGCAAAUACUUGUGAAUAUUGGCAGAGGGAUGUAACGUUGUUGUUAUAUGGGCAUAUGGAGGAUUACAAAUGAUUGUCUCGUGCAUGGAUGCUAAUAUAUAAUAGUAUAGUUCCUGAUUAUUAGUUAAUAUAAGGAGGGUAAGAAGAUAGCAUUGUGUUUUAGUGUAUUUUAUUUUAAGAUUAUAUUCGUAACAGUAUGACAAACAGUGCUUAAUAUAGCAGGAAAUUAUGUAGAAUAAAUCAUUGGUAUGUAAAAAAAAAAUAUUAUACAUAUACUGUAUAUAAGACUGUAACUAGCUCUGUGUUUUAAUUAGCUUUUGUGUAUAGUAUUCCUAUUGCUCGUUGCUUGGCUUACCAAUAUGUAUUGCUAAGCUGAAACUUUUUGAGUGAGCUUUUUUUUUUUCCUGUGCAUGUUUCUUUAUCUUGUGUGUGUGUUUACUGUUGUUAUGCUGUUAUGUCAAAAUUUAGGAUACAGUAAUUACAUUUUAUUGAUACUAUUUCCAACUUCACAGACUCAUAUUGUAGCAUUAUAAUUUUAUACAUGUAGGCGGGUAGUCUUUGAUUACCUCGGGAGUUGCGACCCUGCUUGCCAGUUUUGCCUCCCUGUGGGUUGGUGUUAGGAAGGGAUUCCAGCCAUAAAACUUUACUUCAACAUGUUUGAUGGCAACUGGGUCAUCAUAACUGAACCCAUCCCCUGGUUUCUGCUGCAUUUUCUUGGUUGGUGCCUUGGGUUUGGGGUGGCGGGCAUCCUGUUCUGGUUUUAUCCAACAGUUGCCAUCAGGUAAUCACAGCUAACCCACACAAACACGGAAUAUGGCUGUUAAAUGAUGAUGAUAAUGUGAUGAUGAUGAUGAUGAUGUUGUUGUUGUGAUGAUGAUGAUGGUGAUGAUAAUAAGACUAUAGUAUUGUAAUUAUGAAAUUGCUUUAUUGUUCACCUCUAUCAGUAUCAUUCAAGUCAAAGGAAGAACAUAUGUUUAAUUUAACUUUACCUUCAGCUGUCACCUCGACCUUUGGUAUUGGUUGAGUGUGUUUUAAUGCUGAGUGUUGAGUGAAAAUAUUCAGGUGAAAUUUAAUCAAUAUUUGUGUGUGGCUUUAAUGGAUGUGGAAAAGAGUCUAUGAUAGGUGAUAAAAAAUUUAUGUGGAAAGUAUUGAAAAUGUAGUUAAUAAAUGGAAAGCUGUUGAAUUGCCAACCAGAGAUUCUAUUAAAAUUGCCAUGUGUGUUUAUGUCAUUAAGAGACAGGGACACUGAUUCCCAAUAGAAGGACUUUAUCAGAGGUAUAUAAUGGCAUGAUUCAUCGGGUGGUAAAAGAGGUGAAAACAGGAGUAAUAGAGAUCGGUGCAAAUUGGGUAAUUACUGGUAGAAAAUGCAUAAUGAAAAAUGCAAGACAAUUGCAUGUUUACACAGUCAUUCUGCAUAUGCAUGUACACACACUUCCUGCAUACAUCACUGUGAAGGGUGCCUAUUUAUGUAAUGAAUUAGAUAUCAGAGCUGUAAUUUUUCCCCAAGACAUGCAUGCUGUUGGAUUCCCUACAUUAGAUAUGCAGUGAUUGUAAAUAUGAUUACAGUAGUUUUAUCCACAUGUACAGUCUGCUGCUUGCUGACUAACCACACCCGCUCUUUUGACUUUCUAGGGUCACAAGAAUAUCCAGGCUGGGCGAUGGUGUAAACUUCUCGUUCCUUGCUUCCUGUCUCUGGCACAAAGUGAGAGACCUUCCUUAACACUGUUGCUGUGGCACCACGGCAAUGGGACCUGUGGCACACUUUUUCUUUGGGUGCCUCACCUGCCUGGCACUGAACACAUCUGGUUGAAGAUCAUGUGCAGCAUGUUUGUCUUUUAGCAGCACAAGUAUACCCAAGGGCUGUGUGCACUCUAUCUUCUUCCCUCUGGGUAGAUUGCACCACCCAAGGAACGCAAGUAUACUUUCGUCAACCUUUGCCUGGGUUUGUCGACUGUGUGAGGUCGUGCAUACCUUUCUCCUUACAGGGUACUUUGCUCAAUUUUUCCAAGGCAUGAGGCAUUAUCAAGCAUUGUUCAGGGGUUAUGUCUGCUUGCAAGUCAUUCUCAUCAGUAACUUGCUUAAAAAAAAACGACAAAACUUGAAAUGUUCCAUUUUUUAUGUAAAUUUAAUGUAAACUUUUUAAGUUUUUUAAGUUCUUCAGUGAAGUUGAUAAAUUAAGCAGACUGGCACCCAAUACAAAAUUAAAAUUUUAAUUUAAAAGUACUUAAUGCUUUUAGUCCCUCAGAAUUUAAGCUAUUCCCUGGUAAGGUGUUCAAGUUGCACGUGAAGGGGUUUUGCUGUAAUAAAUGUUAUUGGUACUAGUGGUUCACAUGACCACACUUGCUCACCAAUGUUAAGCUAAAGAAAGCAAUUAUAACUAAUUCACAAUGACUACUGUGAAAACAAUAAGAGUCUUACUUUUGCAUAGUCAGAUGAUGUUAUUUAAAACAAAUGACUUGUUAAGUACGUUUUUGCUUUUGGAAGAACUUUCAUGCAACUGCAUAGAAUUUGGUCUGUAUGUCAAGUGAUUUUAUUAAUAUGAUAAGUCAUAGUAUGGUUGUGAUAUUUGAAGGAAUAUUUUAUUACUGUACUAAAAUUUAGACACUUAUGUACAUUAUAUCACUGACAUUUGUAAAACCUCUCAUAUUCAGUUGGUAAAUUUCAAUACUGUUUACAGAGUGAAUACAUGCCAAUUUUCCAAGGAAGUUUAACAGCUUAUUGGGCAUCCCUGUUUACCUAUAACUGAUUAUCAUUCCAUGGGCCAGAGAACUGUAUAUCAGUUUCCCUAAUUCUUUUAGUCUUCUGCCUAUGCACUUCUUUAAUGAUGAAGUACACAAUGGAUAUUGCUGUAUUUAUAUUCCGAAGAUUUUAAUCAUUUCCAUUUAAAGACACUGUGGAAACCUCUGGCCCCACAAUUUUUGUUUAGACUAAUAAAUGCUAGGUGUAUGAGGCUUAAAUCAGUAGAGUAUCCUGCUGGCAAACCAAAGAUGUUCACAUUUGCCUCCUAGAGACACGAGGUAAGCAGAUUUAUCAGGGUUAUAUUUUAUUGAAAACUCAACUGAUUAUAAAGUCGAAUCAAACUAAUGUGGUAAUUUAUACAAACAUUACAGUAGCAUCAUGAAGAAUUUAGGGUAUUAAGGCCCUUUAUCCAUACUAGGGUGAAUUUGUUAUUCAGAGGUAAUAAUUUGUAAAUACUGUACAUGUAUUUUGUACUACAUAUGUACAAUGUAUAAAUGUUCAGGUUCCAACUUCUGACAGGUAUCAGGUAAAUCAUGUAUGUUGAGAAAAUCUAAAUGCUGCUUAUCCUCUUUCAAACAGAAACCUCUGUUAUUUUGUCUUGUGAACAGGACCUCGGUAAUGGAAACUAGCAACUUUGUAUACAUAUGACAACGAUGUUGUUGCAUUAAAUCCUACGAUAUUA